GCCGCCUGUAGACCAGGCGUGGCGGGACGCUAAAGGACUGGGUUCUUCGGGGUGGUCGGAGAGGGGACAGGCCGGCCCUCGGGAAAUGGUGACCUGGGACACAAGCGCCCUUUUGCCCAGAAGACGCUGGUCUCCGCUGCGCCGGCCCGCAGGCUCCGCGGGGCCUGCCCCGCCGGGUUUCGCCUCGCCCCCCAUCGCUCAUUGGCUCCCCCGGGACACGUGGGUGGGGGAGGAGGCGUGGACACAGCGGCGUGGGCCGGCCGCCGGGUGGGAUGAGAGGCCCGCGGACUCGGGCGUGGGGCCGCAUGGACACGCUGGUGCUGGGCCGGUGGCGACGGCGGAGGGCGGAGGAGCUUCAGGUUCCGGGGGACGCGGGACAUCUUAACCACACCGAGAGCCAGUAGGACUGCACGCUGGAGGGUUCUGUCUGUGUGCCAACGAGGGUCGCCCUCAGCAUGGACUGGGUGCCCACCCGUCCCACCGCAGCCCGCGUGCCCCGGUCGGGAGGUCCCGCCGCCUGCCGCGCGCGCGUCAGGAGGACCCUGUCGCCUCAGAGGAGUCUUCAGCCCGACGUCCCCUGCCGCACCUUUCAGACGUCUCUUUCUUGACGAGGAAAUCGUUUGCAUCGUUUAAAAGUUUUUAAAAAAAUGUCAGUGUCAAAUUUCCUGUGAGGUUUGAGGACCGUGCGGCUUCUGGAACGGUAUCCAGAUGUGGCCCGGCUUUCACGCUUCCCCGUCGUUUGUGGAUGGAUCUGGGGCUGCUGCUUUUGUAAUUAAAAGACUUAUUUUUAUAUUUAAAAUGCUCUAUAAUCUUACACUAAAUUUCAGUAAAUGCGGGUAUCCAGUCUGUUCUCUGUAAUUCCCCAAAUGAAGUUAUCAGACACAGAGCCUCUUUUAUAUUAAAAU
rnacentral:lncRNA from 1 species